CCCUUAGAUGUCCUGGGCCGCACGAGCGCUACACUGAUGCAUUCAACGAGUAUUUCCUUGGCCGAGAGGCCUGGGCAAUCUUUUAAACCUGCAUCGUGAUAGGGAUAGAUUAUUGCAAUUAUUAAUCUUGAACGAGGAAUUCCUAGUAAACGCAAAUCAUCAAUUUGCAUUGAUUACGUCCCUGCCCUUUGUACACACCGCCCGUCGCACCUACCGAUUGAAUGGUCCGGUGAAAUCUCGGGAUUGUGGCCAGUUCACUUUAUUGGGAGUUGGCUGCGAGAACUUGCUUAAACCUUAUCAUUUAGAGGAAGGUGAAGUCGUAACA
rnacentral:rRNA from 1 species